rnacentral:rRNA from 1 species
AUUGAACGCUGGCGGCAGGCCUAACACAUGCAAGUCGAGCGAGCGGCGGACGGGUGAGUAAUGUAUGGGGAUCUGCCUGAUGGAGGGGGAUAACUACUGGAAACGGUAGCUAAUACCGCAUCCCCUCAGAUGAUCCCAUAUGGGAUUAGCUAGUGGGUGGGGUAACGGCUCACCGAGGCGACAAUCCCUAGCUGGUCUGAGAGGAUGCUCAGCCACACUGGGACUGAGACACGGCCCAGACUCCGACGGGAGGCAGCAGUGGGGAAUAUUGCACAAUGGGCGCAAGCCUGAUGCAGCCAUGCCGCGUGUAUGAAGAAGGCCUUCGGGUUGUAAAGUACUUUCAGUCGGGAGGCGUUACCGACAGAAGAAGCACCGGCUAACUCCGUGCCAGCAGCCGCGGUAAUAG